UGGUUUGUAGCUCAAUUGGAAAAGACCUUUCGGCUUUUACCCGAAAGGUUGUGAGUUCAAGUCUCACCAAGCCAA
rnacentral:tRNA from 1 species